AAAAAAAAAAAAACAUUCACUUCCGCAUUCCCCAAAACCCAUUUUGUUCCAAAUCCGCCCGAAAAUCCUCCAUUGAAGCUUGCUUUUUCUUUCAUUCGUCGUAGGUCAGCUGGACCUGCUCCCUUCUUUCCCCCUUCAUCUCAAAGACACGGCCAUCGAUUUGGAGAUCUAGAGAGGGAGCUCGAAGUUUUCGAUUUGUCGAUUUGGAGAUGAAAUUUGUGGUACAUUGGAUUGGGCAUUACGUUUAAGGAUAUAUUGUGUUAUCUGUUCGUGUGGUAAAUGUUUAUUUCUCAUCUUCUUCAUCAUUGCACAUUUGGGUUUCUGCAGAUUUUCUGCUCAGCAAUUUGCUCAGUUACUCGAAUACUAGGACAUAAUAGAUCAUAGAAAUCCUUAUCAAAUAGACUCACGUCGUCCAUUAGUUUAUAAUCAACACUUUGACAACUGAUCAGUAAUGGAAGACUAUAUAUUGAUAUAUGGUCAUUAUUCUGUUGAAUGAAUUGAGAGGUCAAAUAAUUCAUAAAUCUGUUUUGAAUUUACUAUAUACCCAUUUCAAACUUAUACACAACCAGCUCUCCGCCGUUAAUUUCACAAGAAGUUCGUCUUCUUCAAUGAAUCAAUAGCACCUCGAGAUGAUUUUCCUAAGUGCGUUUGUGGAAUAUCACUGCAACAAUCAAUGCCAAGUCAAGUGUUGAAGAUUACAUGGUGUAAAUUCAUUCUGGGUCGAAGAUUUUGGGCAUAUAAAUAUCUUGAUGAAGAUCCUUGUAAUUUUGAGAAAUAAUACGAUGAAUCAUGGCAGCAUGAUUACUAUAAAUUAGUGUUGUGAGAUUAUUUCAAAGGUACUGCAGAAUAUGAAAAGAAACCGAAGAGAAAUAUUACAAUGUGGAAAAGGAUAUUGAUGCAUUGAAGGAGAAUCUCAAAGAAGCCGAAGAAAAGAACAAUCGGUUGCAGAGGAAAUUCAUUUGAUUGAAGGAAAAAAUAAUCAGUAUAAGAGACUGAAGAACGAAGGGACUAUGCUUUUUGUUAAUUGCAAAAUGAUGUUGUGGUUUAAUUUUGUUAUUUGUACUUUGUGUCCUGAAAAAUUCAUUUGGUAUGACAUGUAGUAUAAUUUUUAAAGCUUUUUGUGUAUUUAA